rnacentral:rRNA from 1 species
AUGGCGUUUUCCACCCCCAACGCCCUCUCAGCUUCCGCUUCCGGCCCCGCCUCCCCGUUCCACCUCCGCCUCCAGCCGCAGCCCUUCCUCCGCCUCCCCGCCCUCCCCUUCCACCGCUCCCUCCCGCUCCACCUCCCCUCCCUCCGCCUCACCCGGCCCCUCCUCCCUCCCCUCCCGCUCGCCUCCUCGGGCGGCGGCAGCAACAUCGGCUCCGGCGGCGGUGGUGGCGAUGACGACCUCCCCUCAGGCGGAGGAGGAGACGAGGACGAGGGCGAGGGCGGCGACGACGCGUCCGUCAACAGGAGGGAGGCGCUGUUCGUGCUGGCGCAGCUGGGAAGGAAGCUCGAGAGCCUCCCGGCCGACAUGGCCGCGGCCGUGGAAGGCGGGCGCCUCCCCGGCGAGAUCGUGCGCCGGUUCGCCGAUCUCGAGAAGUCGCCCAUGUUCCGCUGGCUGCUCCAGUUCGGCGGCUUCAGGGAGCGCCUCCUCGCCGACGACCUCUUCCUCGCCAAGGUCGCCAUGGAGUGCGGCGUCGGCAUCUUCACCAAGACCGCGGCAGAAUAUGAGCGAAGGAGGGAGAACUUUGUCAAGGAGCUUGACUUUGUGAUUGCCGAUGUGGUCAUGGCAAUAGUUGCAGACUUCAUGCUUGUUUGGCUUCCUGCUCCAACUGUCUCUCUGCAACCAGCACUAUCAGUGAAUGCUGGGGCUAUUGCUAAAUUCUUCCACAACUGCCCGGAUAAUGCAUUCCAGGUCGCUUUGGCUGGAAGUUCAUACACAUUUUUGCAGAGAUUUGGAGCUAUUAUGAGGAACGGCGCAAAACUUUUUGCAGUAGGAACGAGUGCAUCUUUGAUUGGCACGGGUGUGACCAACGCAAUUAUAAAGGCAAGAAAGACUGUUAACAAGGAUGAUGCUGGCGAAGUUGAGGAUAUCCCAAUUGUUUCAACUAGUAUUGCCUAUGGUGUAUACAUGGCAGUUUCUAGUAACCUCAGGUACCAGGUUCUGGCUGGAGUGAUCGAACAGCGGAUGCUCGAGCCGUUACUACACCGCCACAAACUAGCAUUGAGUGCGCUGUGCUUUGCGGUUCGGACGGGGAACACAUUCUUGGGUUCUCUACUGUGGGUUGACUAUGCCAAGUUUAUAGGCAUACAAUAA